UUGUUACCUGGUUCUUCUUAGCUUUUGUUAUGUGCUGAAAAAAUAAAAACCUAUUUUUGUUGGUCACUGUAAUUAUCUAUUUUGUGUAUCUUGCAUCCUAUUCCUAUCCUCUUAAAAUAUUUCUUCUUUCAGCAUAUUUUCUAGAGUAUCUUUUCGUUUCUUCAGCUUCUGCUUAGACAAGAAUUAUAUUCACCACUUUUUUAAGUAGAUAAUUUUCCACACAUUACAUUUUCAGUUAUUUUCAAA
rnacentral:misc_RNA from 1 species